AGCCACCAACCAUAUUGUUUAUAUUUGUAGUUUUUGAAGUAUGGAGCACCACAAAAACUACAAAUAAAAAAAAAAAAAACAAUCCAGCUAACCAAUUUUGUGCUCUCUACUAUCAGAACCCACCAAAUUGUAUCUCAGCCCAGCCCGACGGGCCGAUGGGCUGGGCUGAGAUGGAUUUUGGUAGCCCGACUGGAGAAAUCGCUAGCCCCGGGACGUCGGGCUAGCGAUUUUGCGAGCCCUGGUCAACCCCUCACUUGAAUUUUUGAAUUUCAAUUUAAGGCAAUUAAAUUCAAUCCAAAAACUCAAUCCCAACAAUCAAGUGAUCCCCUGUGAGCAACAGUGGACAGGAAAAACUCCCUUUUAACAGGAAGAAACCUGUGACAGAGCCAGGCUCAGGGAGGGGCAGUCUUCUGUCAUGGCUGGUUGGGAGAUGAGGGCAAAAUAAAAUUGAACAUAAAGGAGAGCACAGAUUGUGGACCGUGGCUGGAAAACAUUAUUACUGUUUUCAAGAGGCACCCGGUCCACAUCCACAACUACAGUAGGGCUGGAAUGGAUAAUAGGGAUAAUCCCACAGAGGACGGCCAUUCACUUCAGCAGAAAAUAUUUGCGACGGCCCAGCAAGCUACAUCAACAACAAUGGCUGCUGUGACAAGACCUAGACCUACUUUAAGUGCGAGUUUGGCGCCAGCACCCCACCAACCACUAGUCUGAGACUCGUCAGUGAGUGGUUCUGUGACAGGAGUAUUUAGUUCAUUCAACUCCCUUUCAAGGUUGGCCAUCCUAGUACUAAUCAUUCUAUUUUGCUCCUGGAGAAGCUCUGCACGCUGAACUAAUCUCUCAUACUCUCUUUGCAACUGCUGCUGAGGCUCAAGGCCACUAGUCUCAAUAUAAUGUAUGGUUUCCCUGAGAAUCCUGUUCUCUUUCUGUAAUAGACGCAACUGACCUUUAACCUUGGCCAGCUCCUCAGUGAGAAACGCUAUCUGUCGCGUAAAAUGUAAUUCCUCUGUAUUAUCUCUGUCCUUAGGUGAAUUAUUUAAUGUUUCCUCCGACAUUUCUUUAAUAGUAUAAAAGCACAUUGUCUUUGACAAAGAUAAUACUUUCAUACAAUUCAUACAAAGUUUUUUUCUUUUGACACUGUGCUUUUAUACUAUUAAAGAAAUGUCGGAGGAAACAUUAAAUAAUUCACCUAAGGACAGAGAUAAUACAGAGGAAUUACAUUUUACGCGACAGAUAGCGUUUCUCACUGAGGAGCUGGCCAAGGCUACAAGUAAGUCGCGUGAAUUACAGAAAGAGCAAAGGACUCUCAGGGAAACUAUACAUGAUCUUGAGACUAGUGGCUUGGAGUCUCAGCAGCAGUUGCAAAGAGAGAAUGAGAGAUUAGUUCAGCGUGUAGCAUUUCUCCGGCAGCAAAAUAGAAUGAAUAAUACUAGGAUGGCCAACCUUGAAAGGGAGUUGAAUGAACGAAAGACUCGUGUCACAGAACCACCUACUGACGAGUCUCAGACUAGUGGUUGGUGGUGUGCUGGUGCCAAACUCGCACUUAAAGUAGGUCUAGGUCUUGUCACAGCAGCCGUUGUUGUUCCCGUAGCUUGCUGGGCCGUUGCAAAUAUUUUGAAGUGAAUGUCCGUCCUCUGUGGGAGUAUCCUUAUUAUCCAUUCCAGCUCUACUGUAGUUGUGGUUGUGGACCGGGUGCCUUUUGAAAACAGUAAUGUUUUCCAGCCACGGUCCACAAUCUCUCAUAACUAUACUGUGCUCUCCUUUAUGUUCAGUUUUAUUUUGCCCUCACCUCCCAACCAGUCAUGGCAGAAGACUGCCCCUCCCUGAGCCUGGUUCUGUCACAGGUUUCUUCCUGUUAAAAGGGAGUUUUUCCUGUCCACUGUUGCUCACAGGGGAUCACUUGAUUGUUGGGAUUGAAUUUUUGGAUUGAAUUUAAUUGCCUUAAACUGAAAUUCAAAAAUUCAAGUGAGGGCUCGCAAAAUCGCUAGCCCGACGUCCCGGGGCUAGCGAUUUCUCCAGUCGGGCUACCAAAAUCCAUCUCAGCCCAGCCCAUCGGCCCGUCGGGCUGGGCUGAGAUACAAUUUGGUGGGUUCUGGUAGUAGAGAGCACAAAAUUGGUUAGCUGGAUUGUUUGUUUUUUUUUAUUUGUAGUUUUUGUGGUGCUCCAUACUUCAAAAACUACAAAUAUAAACAAUGUGGUUGGUGGUUAAUCAAAAUAAAGAAAAAUAAUAUUUUAAAAAAAACAUCCACUACUGCUCUGUGUGUUUACUUGAAGACUUGUAUUUAUUGUGAUAGAAAAAUAUAAAUUGUCCAAAAUAUUUGAGUUUUUAAAUUAGUACUGCAUGACAUAGAUGCAUCUGUUUCUGUUAUUAUCAUAAUAAUCACAACAUAAAAUGAUUACCAGAGUCAGCUGGGGAUUCAUGAACAUCAUCAGUGAUGUUUCUCCACUUUUUGGAGAACAACAAUUAAACAAGAAUAUUUCUAAUAAGCCAACAAUAUUUAAAGAAGGAAAAACAAUAUUUACAGUUGUUUAUACAGGAUUAACCUGAGCGACCUGUUCCUGUACCAUUUUUUUUAACAACUGUAAUAGAUUACAGGAAGUCUCUGGCUGUGUUGCUGAAUCUGCCGAUGCAAGAUCAGACAUGGAUGGAUGAGGUGCUGCAACUGAGACAUGCCGUUUGUCUUUUCUGGUCGGCGAGUGGAGAAUCACACAGGCUGGUCUGCAAAGAGAGCUUUAGGAUGCUUCCUCCCACUGUCCACUGCAUCGUCCAUCAACAGGGUUUGCAGGGCUGGCUCAACCCAUGGCUGCCACACCAAUAAGAUGUUUUCAGAAAUAUGCAAGCAGGAGAUGGUGGAUGCUAUAUUACUACUACAGUCUACAACAGACAUACUUACUGUGUGAAAGGGAGCAGAGAAACACGCUGUAUUGUUGCAAUUCUCUUUUGCAUAAGCCACACCAGAAACGCUCUGUGCAGAUAGCAAAGUCCCUGCAAAGGCACUGCAAAACUUGUAAGCCCUAGUUCGGCUCCCUACAAAGAUGCUUCAGUUUUUCUUGUGUCCAACAAAAUUAGUUCUAAUAUGUUUUAUUUUUAAUGUUACUCUGGGCUGUGUUGAACAAAGUGAGUUAGCACAAUUUAAAUCCCAAAAAAGUAUUAGUCUCCUAAAUGACUGGCAUCUGACAUAGCUAGACCGUCACCGGGGACUCUGUGAGUGGUAAGAGGUUUAAAAACAAACCAUCUAUACUGUCAACAAACAACUCUUCAUCUGCAUUUUUUCAGAACAAAUUGUUUUCAAUCUUGUGCACCUAACUACACCAAUUUAGCGAUGAAACUCGAAAAGUGGGAUAAAUACACACAAAUUAUUCUGACUCCUUCUUGACCCGUGGUGUCCGUAAAACAAGGCCGUUUCUCUUAAUCUCGCGGUAACUUUCUUUUAGGGUUUCUGUUUUUCUGUCUAUUGAGCAUUUCUGCUAAUGAGAAAACCUGCUUCCUUGUUGUAAAAGUCAAUCUACAGACUUUUAGGAAUUACUUAGCUAAUUUCAUGGAUAAUUUCAGUGACUGAAUUAUUGCCGGUCAUUCGUACAUUUACUUUAUUAUAUAAAAUAUAUAAAUUAAAUCUCUUUGAAACUUCUCAUCUCCACCCAACGUGAGCUCAAUAAUGGCCACAGUGAGCGUGUGAGCAACUAUUUGCCUGCGCUACUGUGCAUGUAUGAAGUGGACCGACUUGUGAUCAGGCACACAUGAGGCCGACCGGCUGAGAAUACUGAAAUCAAAGGAAAUCAAACUCUUCUGUCUGGUGAAAUGUUAUACUUACCAAAUCAUGCUCCCUGGCCUCAUAUCCUUUGCAGGUGGAACUGGACCCAGUUGUAAAAACCAAUGAUUUCCGUUUCUGAUUUUGUCUGGCCAACAAAGAGUCCAGGCUGGUGAUGAUCAAUUUAAGAACAGAAACACACACUUCUUACCAAAGAAAUGAAUAUUAUUUUACAGUGUUGCUGAAUCACAUGGAUGAAUUUAACACCUGAACACAGUUACAGCGUGAUGACUGGCAGGAGGAGAU
ensembl:lncRNA